GAGAGCGCUAGGGGAUGCAGAGAGCUUCGGAGGCAGAGGCACAAUCUCGACCCCCGGCAGCACGGCUUCCGCGCCUCGUGGCCAGCCCCCUGGCCGCCCUGCUGCUGCUGCUGCUGCCGCCGCCGCCGCCGCAGCCGGCGGAGCGCCAUGACGACGACCAACCAGCGUGCUUCUAAUAAGAAUAAUAAUUUCCUUUGAACAACAAGGCGCCUCUAGUCUAGGCUCUACAUAAUCACUAGUAAUCAGGUUAGUAUGAGUCUAUAUAGUAAUUUAAUAAGAUCCAAAACUGUAAUUGCGCGGCGGCGCUGUGUGUACGUGCAUGUACCCGUGAUGGAGAUGUAAGUGCUGUCAUUUGUGUACCUGUGGGAUGUUCGUAAGCCUGGAGUCUGGAGAUGAAGGCAAAUUAUUGAACUAUAAUCUGUGCCAAUAUAAUCUGUCAAGUUGUUUAUACUCUCCACUCCCACCAUACUACUACUUGGCAAAUAUCGAUGGUGAGUUUGUGAUUCCCAGCCGGCGUGUUGUUUGCUGACGGUGGUGGACGUGGCUUAGCAAAGGAAAAUGAGAAGGGGGAAGGAGCCAGGGGGCAUUUUAGAUAUUUUUCUAGUCAGACCCACACGUCAGGGCUAGCAAACGGUAGAGAAUUCAAACAUAACACGGACGGAAUGACUUAGGAGGCAAAAAAGAAAAAUGUUAUAACACAGAGGUCCGCUCUAAACAGUGGUGGAGCCAGGAUUUAAAACUUGGGUAUUCCCACUUCACUACACCAUGACCUACUUUUCCCUACACUCAUGUGUUGGGAAAACAAGGAUUUUAACAACAUAUAAAGUGUUGGCAAUUGUAUACAUUUUCCGCGUCUCAUAAACUGUCAAUAAUGACUAUGUAAGCCAACACGUAAUGUGUCGGCGUUUCUCCUCCCGACUAAAUAAGUGUCGGCGAAAGUUUUUAGACAAAAUAUGUGUCGUUGUAGCCCAACCAAACGACGGUCUAACUGUCGUCGAAGGAGUAGGCAGGGAACCACAAAUACAACAAUUCGGGUGAGCGGGAAACUACGCGCCAAAACAAGUAAUGCGCGGCAGCUAAAUGUUGAGCCCAAUAAAAAAGGCUGCCUCAGCGACCCAUUAGGCUUGGACUUCCACUCACCGACACCAAGUCACGACUCAGAAAGAAAAAAAAUCGCGACCACGCGCUGGGCGCCGCCACACGCACCAUCCGACCGCCGAGCGCCUACAGGAGGACUCCACCCACCGGAGCGCCGUCACCACGGUCCCCAGCCGGAGCUCUGCCGUCCCCAGCGCCGAAUCCCGCCGUGCUGCUGAGCGCUGCUGCUGAGCCCGCCGCCCCCAAUCCCGCCGUCGCCGUGUCCCCAUUCCCCCAAUAUCUGAGCGUCGUCGCCGUGUCCCCAUUCCCCUCUGAAUCCAGGUGCCUCAUCUCCACUUCCCCUUCCUCUCAUCCCCAUUCUUCUGCGUUCUAGGGUUUUGGCACAUAGCUUAUUGUCUUGUUUUUUUUCUUGGUUGCAGAAAGUACACGAAGGUGAGAAAGGCUAAGACAUUUAAGGUUUGCGUUACUUCUGUUGCCAAUUUGCAUUCAGGCCAGAUCCACCAUCUCUUCCCCUUUCUGGAGAAGGAAUUUAUUCAGCUUGAUUUAGAUAUGAAUAUGUUGUUUAAUGCCUUAAUUGAUUUGCAGAGGAACCAUCUCGAUUCAAGAUCUUGCACACCACACAAUCCAUCAGCUUGCAUGUAUAUUCUUUUAUGCUAUGUCUGCAACUUUUUUUAGUAUGAUGGCAAAGUCCACACUGAUGGGAGUUCAUAGUCACUUUACUUUGGUCCUUUAUGCGAGAAAAAACAUGCUGUGUUUAUUCUAUAUAUAAAAAGUUUGAGAGAAGAAAUCAAUUGAACUUUUAGUUGCAAAUGAAGUAUAAGUUUGUCUCCUCGCUGCACUAUAUCAGUUCUGAGUAUUUCUUUCUUUCUUGUGCAUGUUGCAAAAUAUCCAAUAAGAAAGCACUAAAGGAUUCAAGGCUUCAAUUGUUCUUUCUACCCACCUAUAGCUUUGAAGUAAGUUUGCUUUUGCUCAGGUUUUUGACUUAUUUGUAUUGCCUUGUGAUUAAAUAGUGUUGGCAAUAUUAUCUACAGGGAGCACGGGCAAGUUGCCCUUCUAGUCUUCAUCUGAUCUUCUAUUGUCAUUGCUUUAUUGGUAUGCUCUCCUUUUCUUAUGAACUCUAUCUCUUCAUUUGCUAUAGAAUUGCAGGUUAUGUGUUCUGUGAUGCCAUGUUUUUGGUUUCUUAAAACUAGACUAAAUUUCCCCUAUAGUUCAUGUUGAUGUCAUGUGGUGAGAUGAUUUUUUUAGCACUAAGUGUGGUGAAAUUGAUUUGAUUUGGACAAUUAUUUGGCAAGAUUUUCAUAUGUUUUUGGUUGAACAAUCCAAUUUGAAAUGAGAAAUGUUGUGUAUAUGUUUCACUAAUUGACACUUCAUUUUGUAAAAGGUGCAUCAUGGAUAAAACAUGGAUGGAUCAACCUAGGUACAUUAUAAAUCUAUAACCAUAUACUAGAAUCUGCGUGCAUAGGGUGUUUGGACUGAUUUCUUGAUAAUCAUGUGUAGGCAAACACUUGUGUAUAGAGAAGGAGUGGAUAUGUUUUUAGACUUUGCCUUUAGUAAUUCUGCAAAAGGAAAUCAGAUUUUAUGUCCCUGCAAGGCAUGCAAGAACUCUUGUUGGAGGGUCCGUAGUAUUGUACUUGAGCACUUGAUAUGUGAGGGAUUUACGGAAGGAUAUAUAACAUGGGUGAAUCAUGGUGAACCUAGUUCUAGUUUUUCCAUGAAUAGCAGACAACAUGAAAGGGUAGAAGUAGGGGACCCAAAUGAAGAGGAUGAUAUUUCUGGUUUACUUGAAGACAUAGCAAUGGGUUUAGAUGUCGAGGGGGAUUUAGAAGAGAACAACACUAAGCAACAUGAUGAGGAUGUGGAGGCUUUUUAUAAAAUGGUAGAAGAUGCUGGCAAGGAACUAUAUCCAGGUUCCGAGUUCUCGAAGCUACGUUUCAUUGUAAGGUUACUCCAUAUCAAGUUUGUUGGGCGAUGGAAUAACAAAAGCUUCGACAUGCUACUAGAGUUAUUUAAGGAUGUCUUACCUGAAGAGUCAUCAAUUCCUAAAAACUUUAAUGCAGCUAAAAAAAUGGCAAAAGGUGUAGGACUUCGGUACGUCAAAAUUCAUGCAUGUGAGAAUGACUGCAUACUGUUUUGGAAAGACCAUGCGACCAAAAAUGUUUGUCCAACAUGUAAAACCUCAAGAUGGAAAUCAGAAAAGAGUAGUCCUAGUGGAAAACGUGUGUAUAGGGUUCCUAGGAAAGUUCUACGUUACUUUCCUAUAAAGAAAAGGCUGCAAUGGUACUUUAUGUGCUAAAAAACAGCAAGUGACACAAGGUGGCAUGAUGAAGGGCGCACUAAAGAUGGUGUGCUGAGGCAUCCUGCUGAUGCUCCUUUUUGGAAAGAUUUUGACUCUAAGCAUCCAGUGUUUUCCUCAGAGAGUCGAAAUCUUUUUUUUAAAGAGAAUUAACUCUGCUUUUAAGAAAGCACAACGUAACAGGUUCGCUGGGGUUACCAGCCACAGUACAAAACAAGACUAACUCAGCCCACAACUCGGAAGGAAAGGACAACAGUUUUUACAACUAAAACAGAGCUGCUAAAUUUCGACGACAUCCGUAGCAGUGGAGGACUUGGGUUGGAAGUUCUUCAGCCAGCUUCUAAUUGCCUCCAGAACCUGCCACACGCGCUCCUUGUCCUCUUCCUUCAAAAGGAUACUCCAUCUCUGCAAGAAUGAUAUCGCCACAUAUAUCACAUCAGUUGGCAUUUUAACAAAGACCCUCUCAAUUGCCAUCUUGUUUCGCGUAAUCCAUAACGCCCAGGCAAAACCCGCGAAGAAAAACAUCAUCAACCGCUUAGGUAAAGGCCCCGUGCCAUAUAACCACGUCAUAGACAUAUCUUCUAUGGACCUAGGAACAGAAUCUAGUUCAAAGAUAUCCUGUAGAAUCCCCCAAACUAACCGAGCCAAGUGACAACCAAAAAACAAAUGGUUAAUGGUUUCAACAAUGUCACAAAUAUAGCAAUUUAUAUCACCCUUCCAACCUCUCUUUAUGAGAUUACCAGCCACCUGGAGUUUAUUAUGGAAAAUUUGCCAAAGGAAAAACUUGAUUUUCAAAGGAAUUUUGCAUUUCCAAAUAACUCCAGCAACUCUACUAGGCAUACCUCGAUCUGUUUGGAACCUAUAAAGAGAUUUCGUAGAGUACUGUCCCUUUGUCUCUAAAGCCCAGGACACCACAUCAGAAUCUUGGGUCUCCAAGCAAACCCCCGGUAAAGAGUUAGUAAGAUCUACCCAAUUGAUAUACUCUUCUGUGGUUAAGGCACGCCUAAAAUCCAUAACCCAAUCCCCUUCAUCCCAGCAAUCUGAGACAGAACAGCCAGGAUCUCUCACCAUCCUGAAAAGAUGUUCAUGGCUAACAGCAAGUGGAACCUCCCCGGCCCAGCAAUCUUCCCAGAACUUGCAAUGAUUCCCAUUUCUUACCUUAAAAACAGCACCCCAUUUAAAGAGAUUUUUCACCUUAUGUAGUCCUUGCCAGAAUUGGGAGACCCUUUUUGUCUUAGAUUUAAAGAAACCCCCUUCACCCAUAUACUUAGCUUUGACAAUUUUGAACCAAAGAUCCUCGGGUUCCUGAAAAAUCUUCCAGAUCCACUUAACUAAUAGGCAGUCAUUCAUAAUUCUAGUAUUUAUAAUCCCGAGACCUCCUUGGUCCUUAGGUCUACACACCAUUUCCCAUUUGGCCAUGUGGUAUUUAAAUUUGUCCUCGGCUCCUUGCCAAAGGAAUUUAGCCCUAAUGCUAUCCAUUUUCUUGUGAAUCCCAUCCAUGAGCCAGUAGAAGCCCAUACAAUAAAGAGGGAUACUGCUUAGACAGGAAUUAGUUAAAAUCUGUUUCCCCCCAGAUGUCAAAAAUUUCCCUUUCCAGGGAUCAAGUUUGGACAUCAUCUUUUGUGGAAGAAAGCUGAAGGCCCCCAUGGCUAAGUAGUGAUCACUGAUAGGAAUCCCUAAAUAUUUCAUAGGAAGUUCCCCCAGAACACAAUUUAACAUAUUGGCCAUUUCUUCUUUAUCUCCUUGAGAAACUCCAAACCCAUACACCUCACUCUUGUGGUAAUUGAUUUUUAGGCCAGUCAACCAUUCAAAGCAGUACAAAAUUAAUUUCAGGUUAGUAAUAGAAGUAACAGACCCAUCAAUCAUGAUUACUGUGUCAUCUGCGUACUGGAUAUGAGUAAUGCCCCCUGGGAUUAAGUGCUCAAGGACUCCUCGGAUGUGACCCUUUUUUGAAGCCUUAUCAAGAAACACUCCUAAGACAUUAGCUACCAAGUUGAACAGAAGAGGAGAUAGGGGGUCCCCUUGUCUUAAACCUCUGAAAGUUUUAAAAUAGGGACUCCUUUCCCCAUUAACAUUGAUGCAAACCUUCCCAUCUUUCACUGUACUCAUAACCCAGGAAAUCCAAAGAGCCGGAAAUCCUUGACCCACCAUAACCUGUUCUAAAAAACUCCAUCUCACUCUAUCAUAAGCCUUUUCAAAAUCCAGCUUUAAGAUAAGACCUUUUCCCUUAGAAUGAUGCAGUUCAUGAAUCACCUCAUGUAAAACCACUACACCAUCUAAAAUAUUCCUCCCUUUUAUGAACCCAGUUUGAUUCUUACUAAUUAUAUUUCUAGCCACCGGCACUAAUCUGUUAGUCAGGGCUUUAGUAAAGCAUUUGAAGUCAACAUUCAGAAGGCAAAUAGGUCUAAACUGUUUGACAUUAUUAGCUUCUUUAAGUUUGGGAACCAAAGUAAUCACCCCAUAGUUAAGUCUUUUGAUAUCUAACUUUCCUUCAAAAAAAUCCGAGAACAUCAAUCUCAUUUCAUCUUUUAUAUGGUCCCAAAACUUCUUAAAGAACACUACCCCAUAACCAUUAGGGCCAGGAGCAGAAUUUUCUUUCAUUUCCAUGACCACCUCUUUAAUCUCCUCCAUGGAGAAAGGUCUGAUUAGCUCUUCUCCUUCCAAAUGGGACACUUUCAUUUCCUCGGGCCAAAACUCAGAGUUGAGGAACAUGCUACAAGACUCAUUAUGUCCAAAAAGCUCCUUGUAAAAAUCCACAAUGUGGGCAGAGAUGGCACCUUGCCCUCUAAUCUCCUCACUACCAUUUUCCAGAGAGAUGAUUGUUUUCUUCCUCCUUCUGCCAUUAACAAGAUGAAAUGAACUUACAGUAUUUCAGAGAGUCGAAAUCUUAGACUAGCUGUAGCUAGUGACGGCUUUAAUCCUUUUAGGACCAUGAAAUCAACUUACAGUAUUUGGCCAGUUAUUCUGAUCCCAUACAACCUUCCACCUUGGAAGUGUAUGAAGCAAUCAAAUUUCAUUCUAUCCUUGUUGAUCCCUGGACCUAAGGCACCUUGUGGUGAUAUGGAUGUCUUUCUUGAGCCACUAGUGGAUGAUAUGGUAGAAAUGUUUGUUGUUGGUGUAAAAACAUAUGAUGCUUCAAAGCAUGAAACCUUCCAACUGCGUGCUGCCAUAGUUUGCACCAUAUCUGAUUUUCGAGGCCUAGGCUAUUUGCCGGCAUGUGUCACUUCUGCCAAAGUUGCUUGUCCUGAAUGCCACUUAGAUACAUGUUCUUUCCAGUUGAAAAAGGGAGGCAAGUGUGUCUACAUGGGCCAUCGCAGAUUUUUAGAUGCCAAACACAAAUUUCGGUUUGAUGCAGAUUCAUUUGAUGGUACCACAGAACUUAGGCCAGCACCUAGACCUCUUAGUGGAGAGGAAAUAUUGGAGUUGACAGCAAAUAUAUGCCCAACCUUUGGAAAGGACCCAAUAACCAAGAAGCCAGCCAAGUGUCAGUGCAAUCCAACUACAGAGGGGCCAUCCAAGCAAAAACGUAGGAAAGUUGAUGAGCCACCAACUGUUUGGAAAAGGAAAUCCAUUUGGUUUAAGUUGCCAUAUUGGAAAGACCUACUUCUACGACAUAAUUUUGAUGUUAUGCACAUAGAAAAGAAUGUAUGUCAGAAUAUUAUUGACACACUUUUGGACACUGAUGGAAAAUCCAAGGAUAACUUAAAUGCUCGCUUGGACAUCCAGGAACUUGGUAUUAGAAGUGAUCUUCAUCCUGUUAGUGUAGAAGAUGAUUUCUAUUUACCUCCAGCACAAUUUACAAUGAGUCUUGAGGCUAGGGAAGCAUUUUGCCAAGUAUUGAAGGAAGUGAAGUUUCCAGAUGGUUAUGCUUCUGAUAUGCGCCGUAAUGUGCAAGUUAGGGAGAAGAAGUUAAUUGGAUUAAAGAGCCAUGACAACCACGUAUUGUUGCAGGACUUACUUCCCAUCGCUGUUCGGAAUAAAUUGCCAGAAAGAGUUAGUGCAACACUAAUUCGUGUGAGCAAUUUCUUCAAGAAGAUCUACUCACCCACUAUCUGUAUCAAUGAUGCAAAAACUAGAGGCUGAAAUAGCCAAGACACUAAGUGUCCUUGAGACCAUAUUUCUGCCAUCUUUUUUUGAUAUCAUGGUACAUUUGCUGGUGCAUCUGCCAGCUCAAGCAAGACUUGCUGGUCCUGUACACUAUCGUAGCAUGUGGGCAGUAGAGAGGUACCAAACUAUUUCCAAUUGCUAUUAAACAUAUUUGUAGUUAGAUUCCACACUAAAAUGGUUACUUCAUAGGUAUUUGAUGAGGUUGAAGGGCUCUGUCCGUACUAGAAGUCAUCCAGAGGGAUCAAUUUGUGAGGCGUACAAGUUUGAUGAGAGUCUUACUUUCUGCUCCAAAUUUUUGAAAGGAUAUGAGACUGGACAAGCAGAAAAUGGUGAAAGGAUGGACUGUGAAAUUUGCACUACACCAUUCUUUCAAAGCACGGGACAAGCUUUGAGUGGCAAGUGCACUGUAUCAUUAGAAUACAAGACUUGGGUUCAAGCAUAUAGAUAUGUAUUGUUCAAUUAUGAUAAGAUAGAGCCGUACUUGAAGUAAGCAACCCACACGACUUCACACACAUUGCAUUUCUCGUCUUAUUAUGUAAACAUUUCUCAAUGAGUACCACACCUUUGCAGCAAACAUUUGGAGUACCUUUCCUCAAUUGGUCGCCACAAUCAGCGACAAAUGACUCGUAUCCAUCAUGAAACUUUUCAUGAUUGGUUUAGAAAGCAUGUAAGUAAAUGUGUGAUUAACAUGCUCUGUUCAGAUCUAAUACACUUAAAUUAACUAGACAUAAUAUGAUAUAUUUACAGGUGGAAGGGUUAGUUGAAAGUGGUGCAGAAGUAUCGGAAGAGAUACAAAUUUUGGCAAAUGAACCUUUCAUGAUUGCAACAACUUACAAUAGCUAUGCAAUUAAUGGAUUUAAAUUCCAUACAUCCUCCUAUGAUGAGGGUAGACCUAUUCAAGGCAGUGGAAUAGCUUUGAUUGCCCAGACCUCUUGCUUUGAAAAUGGAAACAAUGUGGAACCAGUUAUGAGAAACAAGAUAUACUAUGGCAUAAUCAAAGAAAUUAUUGAGUUAAAUUAUCGCAACAAAGGAAAUAUAGUUUUAUUUAAAUGUGAUUGGGUGGACAAUCACAUUCAAGACAAAUGGGUAAAAAAAGAUCAAUUUGGGGUUACAAGUGUUUAUUUCAAGCAUUUUUGUUCAAUACUGGAGAAAAAAUGUUAGAUGAGCCUUUUAUUUUAGCAUCACAAGUUGUACAGGUUUACUAUGUUAAGGAAGGCCCAGAAUCAGAUUGGCAUGCUGUUGCCCAGUCAAAACCAUGUGGUCUUUAUGAUAUGGGGGAUGAUAACGAAAUACGUAACCCAAUGCCUGAUUUGGAUACAAAUGUGGAUCUUAGUGGUCUUUUUGGAGAUGUUGUACAUGUAAGAACUGAUAUAGAUGGGGUCAUUGUUGCUGAAAGAAAGAGAAAGUAAGUCUCAAACGCCAUCAAUUGUUGCUGGUCCUAUGCAGAUUUUCCUUUGACAUUGUUGUUGUUUGUCUAAACUAAUUGUUUUUUUGACAACCAGUCUGUUGUUGAUUCCUUAGAUAUUUGCACUAUUACAUGAGAAUCCUGUACUAAUUCAUUUUUUAGGAGAAACAAUGCCAAAAGCAGGGGGAAAAAGAAAAGUUGUGGACCGAACUGAUUGUGAGAAUGACAUGGAGCCAACUGUUUAUGAAUUGGAAAGGGAUGAAAACAUCAGGUUAAGGAUACAGAAAAUGCAAGAACUGAAUAUCAUGCCUACUACACAAGAACUUAAUGCCAUGCACCAAACAAAGAGAACAAAAAAGGUAUGCAUUCCCAUGAAUCUAAAAUGUUCUCAAACAAUUAUAUGAUCUGAAAUAAUUGUGUCCCAAAAUGUAGCCCCGAGGUCCACCUGAGGAAACAGCAACUGGACGUAACUUACGAUCUAGCUCUAGAGUAAGUGCGCCGCAGGUUGAUAUCCAGGCUACGAAUGAGCAUCCUGAGAAUCAACUUAAUGAAGGUAUUUGUCUCUUGUGACAACUCAUAAUGCAAUGCAUCAUGCUUACUUUAGUUGGGUGUAAUAUGCUAUAUUGUUUUUCCAGUUGUUCCAGAAGAGCCCAAAAAAAAUGUUCGAGGACCUACUACGAAGGCUGAUAUCUAUGCAAGGCAAAAUAAAUCUAAACUCCAAUUGGAUGUCAAUAUGAAUGGUCAGCCCUGUGGACCAUCAGGCACUAAAUUUGCUAACUUCAUUGGAACACUUGUGAGAACAAAGGGUUUCCCAAUUGCACAUGAUGAUUGGAGGAAGGUCUGUCCACGCCAAAAGUAUAAGCUUUGGACAGAUGCAAAGGUACUAAAAUUGGUUGCAAAUUAUGUUCUGUAUUAAUGUGAUUGGGUCCUAAUUUACUAUUUGUGUGUUUGUACAGCUAUAUUGGCAACUAGACAGAGGUGUCUUCCAUUGGUUCAUGAGGACUGCAGCUACAAAGUGGAAGGAGUUUAAAGCAGAAUUGAAAAAGGUGUAUGAUGAUGACAUGGAAGAUGAUGAAUUGCAUGCUCUCUGUGAUCCUAGAGUUCAUAUGGAUGACUGGAAGUGGCUAGUUAAUCAUUGGAGGACUCCAGAGGCAGCUGUAAGUUACAAAUUGCCAUGCUCAUUUUCAUAAUGUAUAUGGCGGAGAAACAAAUUGCUUGAUAAACAUGACAUAAUUUGGUAGGCCCGUUCUUUGAGGGGGAAAGCAAAUCGUUCAAAGCUGACCCAAAACCAUACAACUGGAAGUAAGAGCCAUGCACGUAUUGGUACUGAAAUGGUAUGUAAUGUCUACUUGUAGUUUGUUUUCCCUUUAUUCGUAUCCUGUGACUCCAAUAACAUACAUAUGGUUUAGGGUGAGGAGCUAGGGCGCCCCCAUCGUAGAGAUGAAUUGUUUAUCAAAACUCACACACACAAGAAUGGAGUACCUCAUAAAGAAGCUGCAACAACAAUUGUAAGUGUGAUAAACAAUUGUAAGUCUGAUAAACACAAUAAUUUCUCAUGCCAUCAUAUUUUGCUAAUUUUUUUAUUUCCUGCAGAAUGCCCUUCAAGAUGCAAUUAGAGAUAAACCUGAAUUGAGAGACAAGAGUAUCCAGGAAGGUGAUGCUUAUUCCUAUGUUUGUGGGGCAGAGAGGAAUGGAUAUGUUCGUGUUGUGGGUUUGGGGCCAAGUCCAGCAGAUUUGGACAUGCCUGGAGCUAGGAAAUGCCUAUCAACAAGGCUUCAAAUGGAGAUAGAAGCUCGUCGAGAAUCUGAUAGGAAAGUGGAAGAUCUAUCAAGUCGUCUAGAAAUUAUUCAGCAAACUCUAGAUAGAUUGAUGCAGCAGCAAAAUGCCAAUAGCACUCCCCAUGGAUCUAAUAGUGCACAACAGGUGGCAAUUGUUAACCUAUAUUUCUUACUAUUUUCUUUGUCAGUGCAAUAGCUGUUCAAUGGUAUUUACUUUGAUUUAGAACUUGAGGGCUACACCAACCUAUCAUGAUGAAGUACACGAAGAAGAUGAAGAACAAGAUGCUAGAUCAUAUGCAGGGGAUGAUAUGGCUGAUAUGAACAUAGAAGAGGAUGGCUUUGUCAGUAGACGAGUGGUCCGCCAAGAGGAGCAACAUAGUGAGGUAAUUUUCUUGUUCUGAAAUCCAGCAGGAUAGAUCAUAUAUUAGCACUAGCCAUAUCUCUAGAUAAUUAUAUAUUAAGGCCACGAAGAGAGCACUUUGUUUUCUUUCUUUCUUUUUUGGUUGAGCUCAGCUUGUUUUGAAAUCAGCAGGAUGGAAAUAGAGAUUUUUAUCAACUGUGUUAUCAUCUUGUUAGCUUUGUUCUGAAAUCAGCUUUUUAUCAACUAUGUUAUCAGCUUGUUCUGAAAUCAGGAUCAAAUCUGCAGCAAUAGAGAUUUUUACAAUCAGUUUUUAUGGUGUUCUGAAUUUUUUUUGAUGCUUUAGGGUGGCAGAGAUGUGAUACUAUAUAAUAUAGUAAGGCCCUAUGAAGUCCCUGUGGCAAAGGCUACCAUUCAAACAAAAAACCCAAGGGCUAUUGUUGGGGGUACUGCUCUUGGCGUGGAGUACUGUGAAGUUGUUGUGAACCAUGUGUUUAACCGGAAUGCAAUACUACCUCGUCCAUAUGAAGGGGUCACCACCAUUCUAGAGGCUCGUGGGAGAUGUAUUGCAUGGCCACAUGACAGAGUAAUGGCCUAACCUCUCUAUAUUCUUUAAAAAAUGAUCAUUAUAUUUUGAUUAGUAAUAUAUUUGUUUUCUACUAGAUGAGGGAUGACAAGUCACCUCGGCACUCAAAAGGUGGUGGCACUGGAAGGACAUCACAACUUGAAGGUAUUUUACUUGAACAUUUUGACUUAUAUAUUUGGUGCUUGUUGCAAAUGGUGCUUGUUGUUGCAAUAUGAAAGCUUUUGAGCUGUUCCUUCUAAUCUUCUAUAUACACUGAGGUGCUGAUUCAGUAAGUUUAGUAGACACUCAAGCUAUAACUACUUUAUAUAGAAAUAGUAUCAGGUUGCUGCAGCUGCUCUUGCUCCAUUGAAAUCUUUAUUUGCUGCCAAUUUUUAAGCUGUUGGUACCUAAGCUUGUUGCUUGUAGCAUAGCUGUCCACUGUACAGUAAUACUAUUUCACUAUUUGGACCUAAUAACAAAGAAGAAGUUAAUGAUAUAGAGCAUAUUUCACUGAUAUUUCUCCUUCUUUUUCAUGUUAGGUACUUAAGCUAUGUGGUGUUGAAAAUAUUUUGGACUGGGCAACCUUUUGAGCUUUGAUCAGAGAGCUGUUACAUGUUCUCUAGAAUGGCAGCAACCAUAUGUGCACCAAGUUGGUGUCCAAGUAUUUUGGAGUGGCAACAAGUGUCCGAGAAAUGCAAAUGUUGCAGGAAGACAUGAAUUGCAGUUCUGUUCUUUUGUUUACACCUACUAGGCUACUAUCGUGUAGGCCAAAAACAUAUGGAAGUGUUGAAUGCCACUUUUGCGCCCAAGUCAUGAUCUAUUGAUCUCUUAGCUUUAGCCAUAACCAGUUAGUAUAUAAGACUUAGUAUAUGCUUAUGUAUUGUUGCAUAUACUAUGAUCAUCACUUGACUUGUUAUGUAUGGUCAUCACUGGACCUAUAUAUGUAUGCCUCUAUGUACCAUGAUCAGCAAUGGCUAAACAUUGGAAUUUGUUUACUAAUUUUAGCUAAGCUCUUGGAUUGCAGUUUUGAUUUCAUUCUGAUCGCUAAUUUCUUUAAACUGUUAUGGUUAGCUCACACUUAAUUACUAUAAUUUUCUCUUAUGUAUACUAUUUGAAUCUCCAAAAAAAAUCAAAUUGGAAUUACUCGGGGCGGUGAAUCAAAAAGCAACAAUGAGGACAUUUUCACAACUUGUAUACUCCCUCUGUAUAGGAAUUAGACGUCGUUUUGGGCAAGGUUUGAGUCAAACAUUAGAAAUAUAAAUCAUCAAUAACUUUUAAAUUGUUGAGUUCGCAAAUGUAAAAAUUAUAUAAAUAUAUUUGUCUUAAACAUACUUUUAUAAAAGUAUACAUAUAUCAUUUUUUCUAAAUAUUUUUAAAAAAAUAAGAGAUCAAAUUUCUGCUUUGGAGACCAUAUCGCUAUCCUUAACGAGAUCUAAAUUCUAUACGUAGGGAAUAUGUAUCAAAGUCCUGCGAUAUAGAAUCUUAUAUAUAUGUUGUAAAAUAAAGAAAUAUUUCCACAAUUCAAAUUGAAAGUCCUACAAUAGAUUCUUGUACUCAGACAACAGUUCCAUGUGCGUCCAUCUUUCGGGACUCACCUCUCUCCCCAAGCAUCUAGGGCCACAAAAGAGGAAAAUGAUUCUCACAUGCCUCUCAGUAAGUGUAUUUGCUCUUAUCUUCCUUAUGCCAUGGUGACUGCUCUUCCCAUCUUAAAAUAAAGAAAGUUGCUAUAGUAUAUUUCAAGUGUCUGAUUUCUUUAGAAAAUUUUAGACAAUAAUCUUACACAAUCAAUUGAAAUAAUUAAAAGAAUAAGUCAUAAGCAUAUUUUUAACUAGGAGAAUUCUCCGCGCGUUGCCGCGGAUAUGAAGGAUGAAUAUAAAUAGGUCAGAAUGUUAACUAAUAAGAAUUAGAAAAUUAAAUGUAUAUAAAUGGAGUUGGUAACACAGAAACAUGAUAUAUAAUAUAAGAGAAAGCGGAUGUUGUGAUCCGUGGAGUAUAUAUAUAUACAUGCGAGGAGUGGUGUCGUUGCAGUAAACAGCUAGCUGCAGCUUGGCGUUAGAAGCCUAUUUGUUCAGGUACUCGAUGGCGAUGGUGGCAUGGAGCCUGGCCUCGUCCAUGUCGAGGUGCAGCGAGUCACGAGUGCACAUGAUAGAUAUUCUCUAACUUGGUGUGCUGUCUUGUUGAUGCAGAUGCUGAAGAAAGCCAUCGGGAUUCUAUGAGUAGAAGCCGAAGUCCCAGCUGCCAUGAAAUGGGGGCACAACCUCGUUGUUUAUGGAUCUCCUCCUCCAUGCAGUCACGGCUCUCAUACACUAUCCCAUGGCAGCCUGCCCUUCUAUCAGCUGCCAAUAGAAGCUUCGCGCCACUCCGAUGAAGGUCAUGGACACCACCUGCAAGUGCAAGUAAGAAGAUGCCAUGCAUUACAAUUCGAUCAAUCUGUUGUGCUAUAUAUACUCGAAAGUCGAAACUGUUGCCACCAGCACAUCUCCUUCAAGUCUAUGGUCAUAUAUAUAUAUAUAUAUAUAUAUAUAUAUAUAUGACCAUAGACUUGAAGGAGAUGUGCUGGUGGCAACAGUUUCGACUUUCGAGUAAUUGCAUUUGUGGUGGGCCGACGAAACAGCAGGGAUUGGAGACGAACUACUACUCGUCAUGACGCAUGCGGCCAUGCAGAAGUGGACGACGAACGGAUGCAACUUGCAAGAGAGUUGAAAGUUAAUGCUACUUAGUGGGUGUUAAUUGGAAGACGAAAUACUACUAUAUUGCGUGCAUGAACUUGGAAGACGUACUACUACUACGCAUGCAAGCACAUGAUUAGAUGGUGUUAAUUGAAAGGGAUAAGUGGAUGACGUGGCGCAAGGAGGUGCUAGAGAAUUAGGUUAGUGAGGUUUAUCUUUAUAGGAGAUAUAGAUAGCCAAAGAAUAAUGAAAUUACAUGUUACCGAACAACAACAACGGAAAACCAAGCAUAUGAAAUAUAAGAGAAGUGCUAGAUAAGUACAUAUCUCUAUAUUUAGGAGUCAAACAACCUUAAAACUCCUUAAGUUUGCAAAUAGAUAUAAAAAAAAUACUAAUAUUUAGGAUGCCAAAUAAGCAUUAUUAGAUUAAUUACACUACAUAUGUUUACAGUAAGCCUAUUUAGAUAUACCAAUGUUGAUAUUAUUUUUCUAUAAAUUUAGUUUUUUUAUUUGGUUGAUUCCUUAAAUUUUUUUUUUUUUGUUUCUAGAGACGCCCCUCAUUGCCCCAUCCUCCACCUCCCCUCGACAGACGAGCUUUCUUCACGUUCCUCGUGGGAUGGGCCAAAUGACCCAAGUCAGUCUAAAGUUGAGUUAAAAAAAGUGCAGCCCAAAGUUUUUUUUUUUAAAAAAAAUAUCUCCAAUUCAGCCCAAAGUUGGGGAGUAAAACCCUAGAUCUUCUGUCCCGGAAAAUACAUACUUCCAGUUCCAGUAUCCAAAGUUCCAAACCCCGUAUUCGCAGCCGAGCGGAGCCGCUGCUCCCAACCUCUUCAAAUCAAGUCCCAUCUCUUAUCAAAAAAUCAAAUCCAAUUUCUGGACCUUCUAUGUGAUUUUGUCUAUACAUGCCCUAAGAUGUUUUAUUGGAUAAGACUUUUUUUUCAUUGCCGUUAGAUUUUUUUUUAUAUUCCUAUUUCUCAAUGAUUGCUAAUACAAUUAAAAAAAUAUCGAUAGCGUAAACCCUGGUGCUAGUCUGCAGCUAGUCACGCCACCAGGAUGGACCGAUGGGGGAUGACAACAACAACAGCGUCGCUCUCCUUGACCAGCUGGAAGCAAGCGGCGCACCUGCAUAUCUAGGGCUUGUUUAGUUCCGAAAAUUUUUUGGUUUUCGAAACUGUAUCACUUUUGUUUUUAUUUGAUAAAUAUUAUCCAAUUAUGAAGUAGCUAGGUUUAAAAGAUUCAUCUUAUGAUUUACAGGUAAACUGUGUAAUUAAUUUUUUUCAUCUAUAUUUAUUGUUUCAUACAUUUGCCGCAAGAUUUGAUGUGACGGUGAAUCUUAAAAAGUUUUUGGUUUUUGGAUAAACUAAACAAGGCCCUAGCCAAAGAGAGGGGGGGGGGGGCGGGGAUGGAAAAUAAGUGCUGUUGAUUAGUGGUUGACUCAGGGUCCACGCCUUGGCGAAGAUCCGAAGGGCAGGCCAGGGCAGGGCGGGCUCAUCAGUCCUCUGUGUUCUCUGUAUAAAAGUGCAGUGAGUGUGCGCAUCAUUCCGCAGAGCUGAGGCCAUAGCGACAAGUUGUAGCAGAGGAAAUCGAUCAGGAAGAGAUCGAGAAGAUGGGGAGGCAGCAGCUUUGCAUGGUGUUCCUGAUGGCGUUCCUCGUCGUCUCUACCAUGGACGUUGUCCACGUGGCCGCAGGUAUGUACGUACGUAGGUGCACCUUGUAUGCUUCCCUCUAGCCACACACACACAAUAGCAGCAGACGUUCUACGGCGAUACGAUUCAGUUGUGAAGCUACACGCAUGUUAGUUACGUCGCAUGACAAUUGACAUGCAUGUGCAGGUAGAGCUAGCUAGGGCUAACUGGCUGCUUUUGUGUGGUGCGUACAGGGAGAGGGCUAGGGGAGGGGAGCUAUGGAGCCUUGAUCCCCGGCGGCACGCCUUCCGUGCCUCGUGGCCAGCCAUACACUGGCCGAACAUGCACAAAAAUCUACGCGUGUAAACCGCCUGCUGCUGCUGACGCUGACGCCGCCGGCGGAGCGCCAUGACGACGAUCAGCAUGCUUGGCCUGUUUAGAUUGGGGCUGAAAAUUUUUUGGGUGUCACAUCGAAUGUGUGGGAAGGAUGUCGGGAGGGAUUUUUAGAAACUAAUAAAAAAAUAAAUUACAUAGCUCGUCAGGAAACUGCAAGACAAAUUUAUUAAGCAUAAUUAAUCUGUCAUUAGCAUAUGUGGGUUACUGUAGCACUUAAGGCUAAUCAUGGAGUAACUAGGCUUAAAAGAUUCGUCUCGCGAUUCUCAACUAAACUGUGUAAUUAGUUUAUUUUUUUAUCUACAUUUAAUGUUCCAUGCAUGUGUCCAAAGAUUCGAUGGGAUGGAUGAAAAAAUUUUUGGUGGGGAACUAAACAGGGCCUAAGAAUAAUAAUUUCCUUUGAACAACAAGGCGCCUCUAGUCUAGGCUCUACAUAAUCACUAGUAGUAAUCAGGUUAGUAUGAGUCUAUAUAAUAAUUUAAUAAGAUCCAAACUGUAAUUGGGCGGAGGCGCUGUGUGUGCAUGUACCCGUGAUGGAGAUGUAAGUGGGAUGUUCGUAAGCCUGGAGUCUUGAGAUGAAGGCAAAUUAUUGAACUAUUCUGUGCCAAGUUGUUUAUACUCUCCACUCCCACCAUACUACUACUAGUGGUAUGCCCAUGCUAACGUCACGGAAAAAGUUAAAAAGACAAUAGGUUUCUAUAAAAUAAGAAUAUAUAUAGCACAAAAAUAAAAG
rnacentral:lncRNA from 1 species